UCGGUAAAGUGUGGACGUAAUUUAUAUGGUUGCUGCAGAGCAGUGCUGAAUCAGUUUUCGCUGCCAAGUGUUCAACGCCGAGUGUGUGUGAUAUAAAGAAUUGAGUGCAAAUCAUGGCUAUAUCGGUUGUGUGUCCAGCAUUUGGGAUGAUUUUGAUUGCAGUUAUUUUGAGCGCCAGAGCGUCGACAGCAGCAUCAGCAGCAGCAACAUCAGUAGUAACAACAGCAAAAUCCGAUCAGGCAAUUAGUGUGGCAAAGCACGUCGACUGUGAGCGUCAGUGUCCAUACUAUUAUUUUCCGAUUUGUGCAACAAAUGGCAAUCCCGAUGAAAAUCGAAUGUUUGUGAAUAUAUGCGAGAUGCACGCUUGGAACUGUGACGUUGAAAAGAAAUAUCACCGGACGAGAAAUAAUCAGUGUAGGGAUUAUCAUGAGUAUGUUGACGAUGAAUGGCUUAACUCACACAAACCGACUAAAAGACC